rnacentral:tRNA from 1 species
GCCCCGAUGGUGGAAUUGGUAGACACGCUGGAUUUAGGUUCCAGUGCAUAAGCAUGCGAGUUCGAGUCUCGCUUGGGGUACCA